rnacentral:misc_RNA from 1 species
AACGCACGAGACCUGCGGACCUGCGGAGGGAUCAUUACCGAGUUCUCGCCCCUCGCGGGGUAGACCUCCCACCCACUGUGAUCACUACCGUCGUUGCUUUGGCGGGCCGCUGGGCCCAGCCCACCGCCGGCUCCGGCUGGCGCGUGCCCGCCAGAGGCCCUACAAACGCUGGAUAUCAGUGCCGUCUGAGUACACAUGUUAAUCGUUAAAACUUUUAGCAACGGAUCUCUAGAUCGGAAG